UGCAGUCGUACGCUUCUUUUUCCACCGGAGCUUGCUCCACCGGAAAAAGAAGAGUGGCGAACGGGUGAGUAACACGUGGGUAACCUGCCCAUCAGAAGGGGAUAACACUUGGAAACAGGUGCUAAUACCGUAUAACAAUCGAAACCGCAUGGUUUUGAUUUGAAAGGCGCUUUCGGGUGUCGCUGAUGGAUGGACCCGCGGUGCAUUAGCUAGUUGGUGAGGUAACGGCUCACCAAGGCCACGAUGCAUAGCCGACCUGAGAGGGUGAUCGGCCACAUUGGGACUGAGACACGGCCCAAACUCCUACGGGAGGCAGCAGUAGGGAAUCUUCGGCAAUGGACGAAAGUCUGACCGAGCAACGCCGCGUGAGUGAAGAAGGUUUUCGGAUCGUAAAACUCUGUUGUUAGAGAAGAACAAGGAUGAGAGUAACUGUUCAUCCCUUGACGGUAUCUAACCAGAAAGCCACGGCUAACUACGUGCCAGCAGCCGCGGUAAUACGUAGGUGGCAAGCGUUGUCCGGAUUUAUUGGGCGUAAAGCGAGCGCAGGCGGUUUCUUAAGUCUGAUGUGAAAGCCCCCGGCUCAACCGGGGAGGGUCAUUGGAAACUGGGAGACUUGAGUGCAGAAGAGGAGAGUGGAAUUCCAUGUGUAGCGGUGAAAUGCGUAGAUAUAUGGAGGAACACCAGUGGCGAAGGCGGCUCUCUGGUCUGUAACUGACGCUGAGGCUCGAAAGCGUGGGGAGCAAACAGGAUUAGAUACCCUGGUAGUCCACGCCGUAAACGAUGAGUGCUAAGUGUUGGAGGGUUUCCGCCCUUCAGUGCUGCAGCUAACGCAUUAAGCACUCCGCCUGGGGAGUACGACCGCAAGGUUGAAACUCAAAGGAAUUGACGGGGGCCCGCACAAGCGGUGGAGCAUGUGGUUUAAUUCGAAGCAACGCGAAGAACCUUACCAGGUCUUGACAUCCUUUGACCACUCUAGAGAUAGAGCUUCCCCU
rnacentral:rRNA from 1 species